GAAAGCCGGAUGAGACCGAAAGACUCAUGUCCGGUUUGGGGAGAGGGCACCGGAAAAGUACCGGAAGGUAACUCGCCGAUGCCCUACUCCAC
rfam:Microvirga lotononidis strain WSM3557 genomic scaffold Micloscaffold_3, whole genome shotgun sequence.